rnacentral:rRNA from 1 species
GACGAACGCUGGCGGCGUGCUUAACACAUGCAAGUCGAACGGAAAGGCCCUGCUUGCAGGGUGCUCGAGUGGCGAACGGGUGAGUAACACGUGGGUGAUCUGCCCCUUACUUUGGGAUAAGCCUGGGGAACUGGGUCUAAUACUGGAUAGGACCAUGCUGUAGGUGGUGUGGUGGAAAGAUUAGUUUCGGUGGGGGAUGAGCGCGCGGCGUAUCAGCUUGUUGGUGGGGUAAUGGCCUACCAAGGCGUCGACGGGUAGCAGGCGUGAGAGGGUGGAAGGCCACAUUGGGACGGAGAUGCGGCCCAGAAUCCUACGGGGGGCAGCAGUGGUGAAGAUUGUAGAAUAGGGGGAAGACUGAUGCAGCGACGACGCGGGGGGGAUGAUGGCCUUCUGCUUGUAAAAUCCUGUCAGCCAUGGCGAAGCACCGGUGGUGACGGUAGUGGUAGAAGAAGCACCGGCUAACUACGUG